CGAUGACAGGGGGAGUGAGUAGUCUCUUUCAGUUACUUUAACAGUGAUUCUCCAUUUUGUUACACAUGGCAUAUAGCUGUUAAAUGGCACAAAGGAAGUGGGGGAGGAGUUAGUAAAGGAAGCUGUUAACACAGGAAUUUUGGUUACACGAGGUUUGCUUGAUGGGAAGGGGGAUGCUAGCAGGAUGAAGAAUUUACAUAGGAAACAGCAACUGAACACAUUGUAG